rnacentral:rRNA from 1 species
UUAAGCGACUAAGCGUACACGGUGGAUGCCCUGGCAGUCAGAGGCGAUGAAGGACGUGCUAAUCUGCGAAAAGCGUCGGUAAGGUGAUAUGAACCGUUAUAACCGGCGAUGUCCGAAUGGGGAAACCCAGUGCAAUUCGUUGCACUAUCGUUAACUGAAUACAUAGGUUAACGAGGCGAACCGGGGGAACUGAAACAUCUAAGUACCCCGAGGAAAAGAAAUCAACCGAGAUUCCCCCAGUAGCGGCGAGCGAACGGGGAGCAGCCCAGAGUCUGAAUCAGCUUGUGUGUUAGUGGAACGGUCUGGAAAGUCCGACGGUACAGGGUGAUAGUCCCGUACACCAAAAUGCACAGGCUGUGAACUCGAAGAGUAGGGCGGGACACGUGGUAUCCUGUCUGAAUAUGGGGGGACCAUCCUCCAAGGCUAAAUACUCCUGACUGACCGAUAGUGAACCAGUACCGUGAGGGAAAGGCGAAAAGAACCCCGGCGAGGGGAGUGAAAAAGAACCUGAAACCGUGUACGUACAAGCAGUGGGAGCACCUUCGGGUGUGACUGCGUACCUUUUGUAUAAUGGGUCAGCGACUUAUAUUCUGUAGCAAGGUUAACCGUAUAGGGGAGCCGCAGGGAAACCGAGUCUUAACUGGGCGUUAAGUUGCAGGGUAUAGACCCGAAACCCGGUGAUCUAGCCAUGGGCAGGUUGAAGGUUGGGUAACACUAACUGGAGGACCGAACCGACUAAUGUUGAAAAAUUAGCGGAUGACUUGUGGCUGGGGGUGAAAGGCCAAUCAAACCGGGAGAUAGCUGGUUCUCCCCGAAAGCUAUUUAGGUAGCGCCUCGUGAACUCAUCUUCGGGGGUAGAGCACUGUUUCGGCUAGGGGGUCAUCCCGACUUACCAACCCGAUGCAAACUACGAAUACCGAAGAAUGUUAUCACGGGAGACACACGGCGGGUGCUAACGUCCGUCGUGAAGAGGGAAACAACCCAGACCGCCAGCUAAGGUCCCAAAGUCAUGGUUAAGUGGGAAACGAUGUGGGAAGGCACAGACAGCCAGGAUGUUGGCUUAGAAGCAGCCAUCAUUUAAAGAAAGCGUAAUAGCUCACUGGUCGAGUCGGCCUGCGCGGAAGAUGUAACGGGGCUAAACCAUGCACCGAAGCUGCGGCAGCGACACUAUGUGUUGUUGGGUAGGGGAGCGUUCUGUAAGCCUGCGAAGGUGUGCUGUGAGGCAUGCUGGAGGUAUCAGAAGUGCGAAUGCUGACAUAAGUAACGAUAAAGCGGGUGAAAAGCCCGCUCGCCGGAAGACCAAGGGUUCCUGUCCAACGUUAAUCGGGGCAGGGUGAGUCGACCCCUAAGGCGAGGCCGAAAGGCGUAGUCGAUGGGAAACAGGUUAAUAUUCCUGUACUUGGUGUUACUGCGAAGGGGGGACGGAGAAGGCUAUGUUAGCCGGGCGACGGUUGUCCCGGUUUAAGCAUGUAGGCUGAUUGUCCAGGCAAAUCCGGAUAAUCAAGGCUGAGGUGUGAUGACGAGGCACUACGGUGCUGAAGUAACAAAUGCCCUGCUUCCAGGAAAAGCCUCUAAGCAUCAGGUAACAUUAAAUCGUACCCCAAACCGACACAGGUGGUCAGGUAGAGAAUACCAAGGCGCUUGAGAGAACUCGGGUGAAGGAACUAGGCAAAAUGGUGCCGUAACUUCGGGAGAAGGCACGCUGGUGUGUAGGUGAAGUCCCUGCGGAUGGAGCUGAGACCAGUCGAAGAUACCAGCUGGCUGCAACUGUUUAUUAAAAACACAGCACUGUGCAAACACGAAAGUGGACGUAUACGGUGUGACGCCUGCCCGGUGCCGGAAGGUUAAUUGAUGGGGUUAUCCGUAAGGAGAAGCUCUUGAUCGAAGCCCCGGUAAACGGCGGCCGUAACUAUAACGGUCCUAAGGUAGCGAAAUUCCUUGUCGGGUAAGUUCCGACCUGCACGAAUGGCGUAAUGAUGGCCAGGCUGUCUCCACCCGAGACUCAGUGAAAUUGAACUCGCUGUGAAGAUGCAGUGUACCCGCGGCAAGACGGAAAGACCCCGUGAACCUUUACUAUAGCUUGACACUGAACAUUGAGCCUUGAUGUGUAGGAUAGGUGGGAGGCUUUGAAGCGUGGACGCCAGUCUGCGUGGAGCCAACCUUGAAAUACCACCCUUUAAUGUUUGAUGUUCUAACGUUGGCCCCUGACCGGGGUUGCGGACAGUGUCUGGUGGGUAGUUUGACUGGGGCGGUCUCCUCCCAAAGCGUAACGGAGGAGCACGAAGGUUAGCUAAUCCUGGUCGGACAUCAGGAGGUUAGUGCAAUGGCAUAAGCUAGCUUGACUGCGAGCGUGACGGCGCGAGCAGGUGCGAAAGCAGGUCAUAGUGAUCCGGUGGUUCUGAAUGGAAGGGCCAUCGCUCAACGGAUAAAAGGUACUCCGGGGAUAACAGGCUGAUACCGCCCAAGAGUUCAUAUCGACGGCGGUGUUUGGCACCUCGAUGUCGGCUCAUCACAUCCUGGGGCUGAAGUAGGUCCCAAGGGUAUGGCUGUUCGCCAUUUAAAGUGGUACGCGAGCUGGGUUUAGAACGUCGUGAGACAGUUCGGUCCCUAUCUGCCGUGGGCGCUGGAGAAUUGAGGGGGGCUGCUCCUAGUACGAGAGGACCGGAGUGGACGCAUCACUGGUGUUCGGGUUGUCAUGCCAAUGGCACUGCCCGGUAGCUAAAUGCGGAAGAGAUAAGUGCUGAAAGCAUCUAAGCACGAAACUUGCCCCGAGAUG